rnacentral:tRNA from 1 species
GACUUAGUACUUUAAUUUAAAAGAUUUGAUUUGCAUUCAAAAAAUAAGUUUUUUAAACUUCUUGGUCA